rnacentral:rRNA from 1 species
AGCUGGGUUGUUAAGUCUCUUGGGAAAUCUGGCGGCUUAACCGUCAGGCGUCUAAGGGAUACUGGCAAUCUUGGAACCGGGAGAGGUGAGGGGUACUUCGGGGGUAGGAGUGAAAUCCUGUAAUCCUCGAGGGACCACCUGUGGCGAAGGCGCCUCACCAGAACGGCUUCGACAGUGAGGGACGAAAGCUGGGGGAGCAAACCGGAUUAGAUACCCGGGUAGUCCCAGCCGUAAACUAUGCGCGUUAGGUGUAUCGGUGACCACGAGUUACCGAGGUGCCGAAGGGAAACCGUGAAACGUGCCGCCUGGGAAGUACGGUCGCAAGGCUGAAACUUAAAGGAAUUGGCGGGGGAGCACCACAACAGGUGGAGCCUGCGGUUUAAUUGGACUCAACGCCGGGAAGCUCACCGGAUAGGACAGCAGAAUGAUUGCCGGGCUGAAGACCCUGCAUGACUAGCUGAGAGGAGGUGCAUGGCCGUCGUUAGUUCGUACUGUGAAGCAUCCUGUUAAGUCAGGCAAUGAGCAAGACCCACGCCAACAGUUGCCAGCAUGGUCUCCGGACUGAUGGGGACACUGUUGGGACCGCCUCUGCUAAAGAGGAGGAAGGAAUGGGCAACGGUAGGUCAGCAUGCCCCGAAUUAUCCGGGCUACACGCGGGCUACAAUGGGCAGGACAAUGGGCAUCGACACCGUGAGGUGGAGGCAAUCUCCUAAACCUGUCCUUAGUUCGGAUUGUGGGCUGAAACUCGCCCACAUGAAGCUGGAAUCUGUAGUAAUCGCGUUUCAAAAUAACGCGGUGAAUUUGUCCCUGCUCCUUGCACUCACCGCCCGUAA